AGAGAAGUUUAGAAGCUGAGUACAAGUAGACCCACCCACCGAGUCAGCCCGACAGGACGCGGACUGAGCCGUGAGGGAGGCAGGCAGAGGGACUUCCUGAUUGCUGAGAGACCACAACCGCUGAUGCAGGAUCACAGACUUUUGAGUUCACAGCUCGAAACUUUCUCUGCCUCACCUCUUGUCCAGCUGCCGAUAUUCACAGCAGGACAGCUAAGGCCCAGAAAAGGGAAGUGACUGCCCAAGGUUGUCAGCUGUUGGCGGAGCCUGGUCUACAACCACAGCAACCUACCACGAUGAUCCUCUGCAGUUCUCAGUAUCUUUCAGGGCCCAUCCCUGUUUUCAGUCUGAUUCAUCUCUGAAAGCAUCAGAUGCUACCUCUCUCUGUGCUUUAGGGUGUCUGGGGGCUUCAGAGUGGGGGGGGGAGACCCCUGGCUGGCGGCCCAAGCUCCCCCUGACAGGCAGCCCCACCUCAGGCCCUGGCUGGGGCUCUGGGCUCUGACAGGGGGUAGUUAGGGGAAAGGCGCUGUGCCCCCAGCAGGUAGGAACAGAAAGAAGGAAGAAGAGUCAGCGA